AACCAGCAACACCACUUCCCAGGUCUGAGUUGGGGGCUGGUUGCAGUGCUGCUCUACUGGGAUGGAAAGCUUUGUGUGGCCAACUCCCUGCGCUCGCUCAUCCAGUGCCUCCACUGCAAGACAUUCACCUUGGAACUAAGUGAGGAGCUGUUGGCCCUCACCACACAUUUCACAGAUGAGCUGAUGAGCCAGGGCCUGACGACGUGCCUACUGACGCUGGUAUCAGAGAUCAAUGUGAUGCGGGAGUUUGAGCGCCUUCAGUAAGAGCGUGGCCUGGGAAACGAGAAACAUAGGAAAGAGGUACCUGUAUCACAGCAGCACCAAUCCAGAGGCGGCCUUCCAGAGCACUAAGAUCCUCUGACGCAUCGCCCGCUACCCCAACAUCUACAACUGGCUGGUGGGAGACUUCACACAUGACCAGGCUAGUCACUCCAACUCACCACCACUCCUUUCAUUCGCUGCCUGCCAGACUUUCAGCUGGCUAAGAAGGAGGCGAGGAUCCGCCACGAGACCCAGAUCCUGAACCUUCUGAUCACUUCCCUGGAGCUAAAGGCCCCCAACCUGGCCAUCUAUCUGGUGGGCUACGAGGUCAAGAAGCCCAUCUCCUCCACCAACCUGCAGGUGUGCUGAGGUGCCCACAAAGCUGCCUGCAUGCCAUCCUGAGUCUGCUGCAGAGAGGCAGUGAGAUACGCUUGGGUUCCGUGCUCACCAUCCAGGCACCACACCUGGCUGAGCACUGUUACCAGGUCAUCUACCAGCUGUGUGCGUGCUCGGACACGUCAGGCCCCACCAUGCGAUACCUGAGGACCAGCCAAGACUUCCUGUUCUCAUCUGCAGCACCUGCCCUUCAUUCUACCAAGUGAGCUCUUCACUGUCAUAUCGAUACAGUGUGCUCCUAUCCUGGUCUUCUCUCCGUCAUCUGCAAUGAUCUGAAAACACAGGAUAGGUGGUAGAAAUAUGGCAGAUGCCAACCAGAGCAUUUAUACUCCUACAAAAACCCAGUCGUCUUUUUUAACAGAGCUGCCAGAGAGAAAGGAAACUACUCCGGGUGUCAAUCUUCUCUCUAAACCGUGUCUCUCCCCCUACGCUCUCAUGUGAUGAGAUCUCCACCCUGUCCCAGAUAUCCUGGCUUAUGAAGACAACGGGCAUCGAGCUCAGAGUGACAUCACUCAACCGCCAGCACUCACACACCCAGCGCCUCCUCCACCUUCUGCUGGACGACUAGCCUCACACUCGGCACGCAGAUAAGACCUACUACUCACUCACUCACUAUGCACCCACACACUAUGAAAGUUGGAUGCAUUGGAUGUAUUGUCAUUCACUGAUGUAAAUGGGAUACGAGGAAAUGUGCAAAAAGCAAAACCCUUUACAGUUAGCCUCUUUGAUUAGCUGAUGAGGAGACGGGCAUGGAGGAGGAGUCCAAAUCUGUCAGCUGAUUCCUGCACUUAUGUCUAGUUCUUCAGUCUUCACAUAUUUGUGAAUCAUAAUGCGUUCUGUCAUUCUGUCUGUAAUAAUCCUGGUAUGAAUCAUAUGCAUUCUGUGACAAUAGAGCAGGGGUACUCAACUCUGACCCUUCGAGGUCAGGAGCCUGCUGGUUUUCUCUUCUACCUGAUCAUUAAUUGCACACACCUAGGGUUCCAGGUCUAAAUCGGUCCCUGAUAUUAGAGGGGAAUAAUGAGAAAAUGCAGUGGAACUGGAGUUGAGUUUGAGGGCUACAGAGCCUCUGUAUUAGCAGUUGCAAAAGCUAAGAGCCCCUCUCCUGCCCUGACUCAAGACCUGUCCCUGCCCUCGGGCCUGUACUCUCGUGUGCCCAACCUGGGCCUGGUGCUGUUCCUACUGAAGAACAUCGCUGCAUACUUCUUCCACCAGAGCCAGACAAGCUCUGGGAAAGCUGCAGUGCCUGGAGCAGCCACCCCCUGAGGAGCUCAAAGAGGAAACACACAUUCAACCUAUUGACAAGGUGAUAGUGCCUCAGCCCUAACCCUCCUCUAUCCCUGUCUCUCUGUUUGGUGUGUAGCUGUGUCUGUGUUUGGUACUGGAGUAGAGAAUCUCUUUGGUCCAGAGGAGCCUCCUGGUCCAGCUUAUCAACAACAGGGCCAAGCUGCUGGCCUUCUGCUCCUGUAUCCUACCAUAUUAAAAUAAACCAGAUGAAGUCACACCAGACUUCUGUGCAGGGGUUAGGUAAAGGGACUGAUCUAAUGGUUUAGGGUUCAUCUCAGGGUGGUUUUGAUUUUAGGGAUUUUGUAGGAUGAUGAUGUGCUGUUGGGUAUGUAUGAUUAAUGACGUGCCCUGAGCUGUAGCUAGUUCAUGUGAGAAUGAGAAAUACCUUGACCUAACCACACCUCCGAUGUGAUUGAGACCUGCCUGUUUGUACUUUGGCGUCACCUGGAGUUCGACCUGUUGUACUGCACCCCCACCGACCCCAAGGACUCCCUGAUGCCUGGAGCCAGCGAGGUUCUCCCCAGGCUAACCCUGUCUGGAGAUUGAGAUCGGACUGGGUUUUGGUAGAAGUCACCCUUAAUCACAGAUCUAGAAUGCGAUAACGCUACCCUCUAGCCUAACCUUGAUCAUGAGGGGAAUGAAAAAUCUGACCCUGUUUCAGUGGGCAUCAUCCAACUCCAGAUGACUGCAGGAAAUGUGAUGUUAGUGGUGUUUCUCGAAUUCCCCAGACUCAUUUGGACGUGCCCUGGGUCUGGCCAGUCAGCCAGCAAGAGCAGUAAGACCCUGUGUCUCCAGCUGCAGAGUGACAUGGGGUCCGGCUUUGGGGAGGCUCUACAGAGGAAGCUGCAGAGUGACAUGGGGGCAGGCUCUACAGAGGAAGCUGCAGAGUGACAUGGGGGCAGGCUCUACAGAGGAAGCUGCAGGAGGUGGAGGGACUGAACAGCCAGGUCCGCUCCCAUUCCACCUUCAUCCAGGCCCUGGUACGCAGGAUACAAGGCCUGUUCCACCAGCCCAAGAGCUGAAACAGUCAACGACCAAUACAAUGAACAAGACCUAAAACCUGUGGAACAAUGUUCACCUAAAGAGUACACCAGGCCAAGGAUAUGGACAUUCCAGAACCAGACACACCUGAUCUUGAGAAUUCUAUUUAAACCAGACUCGACUUCCCCUAUUCACUCCAGUCUAUUCUACUGGCCUCUACUGUCCUCCGUCUCUCCUAAGACGGGCGCUGUGCAAUGUUAGUCUGACUGAUGUAGUUUGCCCAAUAUUUUUUAAUUUUCUUCACAAAACACACUUUUUGGUAUAAUGGAUUUUUUUUCUAUAAUGUAAUGAUUUUCCAAUGAUUUAUUGAUUUUAUUGCAGGGCUAUUCAACUCUUCGUGGUCUGGAGCCUGUUUUUUUGUUUUGUUCUCCCUGAUACUUAAUUGCACCCACCUGGUGUAAAUCAGUCCAUGAUUAGAGGGGAACGAUAAAAAAAGUGGUACUGGCUUUGAGGUCAAAGGGUUUGUCUCAUCUUUUGUAACAGGACUC